rnacentral:rRNA from 1 species
AAAGAAUUUCGGUUAUCGAUGGGGAUGCGUUCCAUUAGUUAGUUGGCGGGGUAACGGCCCACCAAGACGACGAUGGAUAGGGGUUCUGAGAGGAAGGUCCCCCACAUUGGAACUGAGACACGGUCCAAACUCCUACGGGAGGCAGCAGUGAGGAAUAUUGGUCAAUGGACGAGAGUCUGAACCAGCCAAGUAGCGUGAAGGAUGACUGCCCUAUGGGUUGUAAACUUCUUUUAUAUGGGAAUAAAACAGGGUAUGCAUACCCUCUUGUAUGUACCAUAUGAAUAAGGAUCGGCUAACUCCGUGCCAGCAGCCGCGGUAAUACGGAGGAUCCGAGCGUUAUCCGGAUUUAUUGGGUUUAAAGGGAGCGUAGGUGGAUUGUUAAGUCAGUUGUGAAAGUUUGCGGCUCAACCGUAAAAUUGCAGUUGAAACUGGCAGUCUUGAGUACAGUAGAGGUGGGCGGAAUUCGUGGUGUAGCGGUGAAAUGCUUAGAUAUCACGAAGAACUCCGAUUGCGAAGGCAGUUCACUGGACUGCAACUGACACUGAGGCUCGAAAGUGUGGGUAUCAAACAGGAUUAGAUACCCUGGUAGUCCACACAGUAAACGAUGAAUACUCGCUGUUUGCGAUAUACGGUAAGCG